rnacentral:rRNA from 1 species
UGGUCAAGUUAUUAAGGGUGCAGGGCGGAUGCCUUGGCACUAGGAGCCGAUGAAGGACGUGAUAAGCUGCGAUAAGCUUCGGGGAGUUGCACGUAAACUUUGAUCCGAAGAUUUCCGAAUGAGGAAACUCACUUAGAGUAAUGUCUAAGUAUCAUUAAGUGAAUACAUAGCUUAAUGAGGGGAACUCAGGGAACUGAAACAUCUAAGUACCUGAAGGAAGAGAAAGAAAUUCGAUUCCGUAAGUAGCGGCGAGCGAACGCGGAUUAGCCCAAACCAAUAAAGUUUUCUUUAUUGGGGUUGCGGACAUAUCAUAACGAAGAGGUAUCGUAAUUGAAGAGGUUUGGAAAGACCCACCACAGAAGGUAAUAGUCCUGUAUGUUAAACGAGAAGACUUCAGAUAUGAUCCAGAGUACCACGGGACACGUGAAACCCUGUGGGAAGCAGGAGGGACCACCCUCCAAGGCUAAAUACUACCUAGUGACCGAUAGCGUAUAGUACCGUGAGGGAAAGGUGAAAAGAACCCCGGGAGGGGAGUGAAAUAGAACCUGAAACCCUGCACUUACAAGCUGUGGAAGCACAUUUCUUGUGUGACCGCGUACUUUUUGUAGAACGGGCCAACGAGUUACGUUAAGUAGCAAGGUUAAGCACUUAAGGUGUGGAGCCGUAGCGAAAGCGAGUUUUAACUGAGCGUUCAGUUACUUGACGUAGACCCGAAACCGGGCGACCUACCCAUGAGCAGGAUGAAGCGAAAGUAAAAUUUCGUGGAGGUCCGAACCCACGAGCGUUGAAAAGCUCGGGGAUGACUUGUGGGUAGCGGUGAAAUUCCAAUCGAGCCCGGAGAUAGCUGGUUCUCCCCGAAAUAGCUUUAGGGCUAGCCUCAAGGUGAGAGAUACGGAGGUAGAGCACUGAAUGUCCUAGGGGGUAUUGCACCUACCGAAGACUAUCAAACUCCGAAUGCCGUCAUCUUAUACUUGGGAGUCAGACUGUGGGUGAUAAGAUUCAUAGUCGAAAGGGCAACAGCCCAGAUCGUCAGCUAAGGUCCCUAAAUGUAAGUUAAGUGGUAAAGGAUGUGGGAUUGCACAGACAACCAGGAUGUUGGCUUAGAAGCAGCCACUCAUUCAAAGAGUGCGUAAUAGCUCACUGGUCGAGUGAUCCUGCGCCGAAGAUUUCCGGGGCUAAAACUUACUACCGAAGCUACGGCAUCAGUAAUGAUGGGUAGGGGAGCUUCCCAUACGGGUUGAAGCAUGACCGUAAGGACAUGUGGACAGUAUGGGAGUGAGAAUGUUGGCAUGAGUAGCGAGAUGUGGGUGAGAAUCCCACAGGCCGUAAACCCAAGGUUUCCAGGGGGAAGGUUCGUCCGCCCUGGGUUAGUCGGGACCUAAGCUGAGGCCGAAAGGCGUAGGUGAUGGACAACAGGUUGAUAUUCCUGUACUACCGAUAACCAUUUGAGAGAAGGGAUGACACAGUAGGAUAAGCUAAGCACACUGUUGGUUAUGUGUGCCCAAGCAUUGAGGCAGUCAAAGUAGGCAAAUCCGCUUUGAUAAUGCUGGGAUGUGAUGGGGAGCGAAAUUUAGUAGCGAAGUAGCUGAUUUCACACUGUCAAGAAAAGUCUCUAUCGAGGUUAAAGGUACCCGUACCGCAAACCGACACAGGUGGGUGAGGAGAGUAUCCUAAGGCCAGCGAGAGAACUGUUGUUAAGGAACUCGGCAAAAUGACCCCGUAACUUAGGGAUAAGGGGUGCCACCAUCAGGUGGCCGCAGAGAAUAGGCCCAAGCGACUGUUUACCAAAAACAUAGGUUUCUGCUAAGUCGCAAGACGAUGUAUAGGAGCUGACGCCUGCCCGGUGCUGGAAGGUUAAGGGGAUCUGUUAGAGCAAUCGAAGCAGUGAACUUAAGCCCCAGUAAACGGCGGCCGUAACUAUAACGGUCCUAAGGUAGCGAAAUUCCUUGUCGGGUAAGUUCCGACCCGCACGAAAGGCGUAACGAUUUGGGCACUGUCUCAACAACAGACUCGGUGAAAUUGUAAUUCCGGUGAAGAUGCCGGAUACCUGCGACAGGACGGAAAGACCCCAUGGAGCUUUACUGUAGCUUGACAUUGGGUCUUGGUACUACAUGUACAGGAUAGGUGGGAGGCUUUGAAACCAGGACGCCAGUUUUGGCGGAGCCAUCCUUGGGAUACCACCCUUGUAGUACUGGGACUCUAACCAUAGGCCAUGAAUCUGGUCUUGGGACACUGUCAGGUGGGCAGUUUGACUGGGGCGGUCGCCUCCCAAAAGGUAACGGAGGCGCUCAAAGGUUCUCUCAGUACGGUCGGAAAUCGUACGUAGAGUGUAAAGGCAAAAGAGAGCUUGAUUGCAAGACAUACAGGUCGAGCAAGGAUGAAAAUCGGACUUAGUGAUCCGGUGGUUCUGCGUGGAAGGGCCAUCGCUCAACGGAUAAAAGCUACCCUGGGGAUAACAGGCUUAUCUCCCCCAAGAGUCCACAUCGACGGGGAGGUUUGGCACCUCGAUGUCGGCUCAUCACAUCCUGGGGCUGUAGUAGGUCCCAAGGGUUGGGCUGUUCGCCCAUUAAAGUGGUACGCGAGCUGGGUUCAGAACGUCGUGAGACAGUUCGGUCCCUAUCCGUCGCAGGCGUAGGAAAUUUGAGAAGACCUGUCCUUAGUACGAGAGGACCGGGAUGGACGUACCUCUGGUGUACCAGUUGUUCUGCCAAGGGCAUGGCUGGGUAGCUAUGUACGGAAUGGAUAAGCGCUGAAAGCAUCUAAGCGCGAAGCCAACUUCAAGAUAAGAUUUCCCACCGCAAGGGUAAGACCCCAGAAAGACUAUCUGGUUGAUAGGUCGAAGGUGUAAGUGCAGCAAUGUAUUUAGCUUAUCGAUACUAAUAGGUCGAGGACUUGACCAAU